UACGAGGGGGGCGAGCGUUGUUCGGAAUUAUUGGGCGUAAAGGGUGCCUAGGCGGCGCGGUAAGUCGGGUGUGAAAUCUUGGAGCUUAACUCCGAAACUGCAUUCGAUACUGCCGUGCUUGAGGACUGGAGAGGAGACUGGAAUUUACGGUGUAGCGGUGAAAUGCGUAGAUAUCGUAAGGAAGACCAGUGGCGAAGGCGGGUCUCUGGACAGUUCCUGACGCUGAGGCACGAAGGCCAGGGGAGCAAACGGG
rnacentral:rRNA from 1 species